rnacentral:tRNA from 1 species
GGUUAUGGCUCAGCGGUAGAGUGCUCGCCUCACAGGUGCAAGGGCCUGGGUUCGAUCCUCAGCACCA